AUUGAACGCUGGCGGCAGGCCUAACACAUGCAAGUCGAGCGAGCGGCGGACGGGUGAGUAAUGUAUGGGGACUGCCCGAUAGAGGGGGAUAAAUACUGGAAACGGUGGCUAAUACCGCAUACUCUCGGAUAACCCAUAUGGGAUUAGCUAGUAGGUGGGGUAAAGGCUCACCUAGGCGACGAUCUCUAGCUGGUCUGAGGGGAAGAUGGGACAAACGGGAAUGGUGAAACGGCCCAGACCCCUAGGGAGGCAGCAGUGGGGAACAUUGCACAUGGGGCGCAAGCCUGAGACAGCCAUGCCGCGUGUAUGAAGAAGGCCUUAGGGUUGUAAAGUACUUUCAGCGGGGAGGCGUUACCCGAAGAAGAAGCACCGGCUAACUCCGUGCCAGCAGCCGCGGUAAUAC
rnacentral:rRNA from 1 species